UACGGGGGGAGCAAGCGUUGUUCGGAUUUACUGGGCGUAAAGGGCGCGUAGGCGGCCACUGCAAGUCGGUUGUGAAAUCUCCGGGCUUAACCCGGAAAGGUCAAUCGAUACUGCAGGGCUAGAGUGCAGAAGGGGCAACUGGAAUUCUCGGUGUAGCGGUGAAAUGCGUAGAUAUCGAGAGGAACACCAGUGGCGAAGGCGGGUCUCUGGACAGUUCCUGACGCUGAGGCACGAAGGCCAGGGGAGCAAACGGG
rnacentral:rRNA from 1 species